GAUUUACCCUGCAGGGGUCUGAGGAGUAGUUAAGCAUAGUCCUCAGAAAUCCACCAGAGUUUAAAAUUCCAAAA